UAAAUCGUUUAAUUAAGGUUUGUACAUGCUAGUUUUCAUGGCAGAGUUUAACAUAAAUAUUUAUUACUACUGGAGCUGCCAGUUUGCUACAUUUCAAAUGAUUAUUAAACAGCAAGCACAAACUAUGCGAAAUCGGCAGCCCUUCCGGUGUACUCAGUGUCCGAAUUCACUAACUCGUUUCAUUCACUUCUUCAGUGGACUAUAUUAGUGGAGUAAUGUAGGGAAUAGAGAAUGAGGGUGUAGGGGGCGAUUUGGAACACAGCAGAUGUUCCCUUUAUUCCCUAUGCCGUUCGCAGUGCCCUUCGCACUUAACAUGUUCGCUCCCUUCGGAUUGGAAUCUCACUUAAGGAGAAAUACCAUGUGAAGUCCACUUCGCAGUCCACUUACGGUCGAAUGGAACGCAUAUGAUCCCCAGUUGAUCCAUAACACCGCAAUUACAGGUGUCGAUUACACAGCAAUCUGUUUACUGAGCUGCAUGAUCCAGUGCUAGUUUGCUUGCUUACUGCAUCUAUUCAGUAUUUAAAUGCACCAGUGAUUCCCCUCAUUUUUGUUCCAUUACAAGACAAUGAAUCCGAAAUUGCGUGAUAUCAACUUCAUUGUUUUGAUUUACUGAUUAACAACAAUAAACUAAUUCAGAAAUUUGUUUUGUUAAUUUCAUUCGCUCACAAAUUACGUCGAAACAAAGAACGCCUUCAAGUGAAAUAUUCGUGUCUUUUUUUUUUUUUUUUUUUUGGGUGUGAGCCGCGUGACUGACGCCACAUCAGUCCAAAACUGAAAGAACGCUUUAUUCAGAAAAUGAGCAACCAGUAGCUAAUCUGUGACCAGUGAUUUGUGAAAGAAAUAGACUUGCAAUUACUCCAUAGCCUAUCAGCUGGAACAAGCUACAAUUCCACAUGUGGGAAAGUAGAGCCCUGUGGCAGACACAGCAGAUUUUAGAGGAGAAAAACUAAUUUUGAUUCUGUUCCUUGUCUACGAUUCUCUGCUGCCUGCCUUUGGACUGUUUAUUGUUUCCUGGUUUUUGUGAUUGAUAUCUGCCUGCCCUGAUUCUACUGCCUGUUCCACGACCACAAUUCUGCUUUGUCCCUGCUGUACCUGUUUGCCACUGUUUGACCCUUGCCUGUUUGACUACGAUCUCUGCUUUAAUAAAAGCUUGCAAAUGGAUCUUA